UACGUAGGGUGCAAGCGUUGUCCGGAAUUAUUGGGCGUAAAGCGCGUGUAGGCGGUCCGGUAAGUCCGCUGUGAAAGUCGGGGGCUCAACCCUCGAAUGCCGGUGGAUACUGUCGGGCUAGAGUGCGGAAGAGGCGAGUGGAAUUCCUGGUGUAGCGGUGAAAUGCGCAGAUAUCAGGAGGAACACCAAUUGCGAAGGCAGCUCGCUGGGACGUUACUGACGCUGAGACGCGAAAGCGUGGGGAGCAAACAGG
rnacentral:rRNA from 1 species